GGGUUUAAUCCUAGUUGGAAUGCCUGACCGAUAAUCAAGCAAAAGAGGUUAAAUUCCUCUUAAACCCU
rnacentral:tRNA from 1 species